UACGGAGGGGGCUAGCGUUGUUCGGAAUUACUGGGCGUAAAGCGCACGUAGGCGGCUUUGCAAGUUAGAGGUGAAAGCCCGGGGCUCAACUCCGGAAUUGCCUUUAAAACUGCAUCGCUAGAAUUGUGGAGAGGUAAGUGGAAUUCCGAGUGUAGAGGUGAAAUUCGUAGAUAUUGGGAAGAACACCGGUGGCGAAGGCGGCUCACUGGCUCGUAACUGACGCUCAUGCACGACAGCGUGGGGAUCGAACAGG
rnacentral:rRNA from 1 species